UACGAAGGGGGCUAGCGUUGCUCGGAAUCACUGGGCGUAAAGCGCACGUAGGCGGAUUGCUAAGUCAGGGGUGAAAUCCUGGAGCUCAACUCCAGAACUGCCUUUGAUACUGGCGAUCUUGAGUCCGGGAGAGGUGAGUGGAACUGCGAGUGUAGAGGUGAAAUUCGUAGAUAUUCGCAAGAACACCAGUGGCGAAGGCGGCUCACUGGCCCGGUACUGACGCUGAGGUGCGGAAGCGUGGGGAGCAAACAGG
rnacentral:rRNA from 1 species